rnacentral:rRNA from 1 species
AUACGGAGGAUGCGAGCGUUAUCCGGAUUUAUUGGGUUUAAAGGGAGCGUAGGUGGGAUAUUAAGUCAGCUGUGAAGGUUUGGGGCUCAACCUUAAAAUUGCAGUUGAUACUGGUUUCCUUGAGUACGGUACAGGUGGGCGGAAUUCGUGGUGUAGCGGUGAAAUGCUUAGAUAUCACGAAGAACUCCGAUCGCGAAGGCAGCUCACCGGGCCGGAACUGACACUGAUGCUCGAAAGUGCGGGUAUCAAACAGGAUUAGAUACCCUGGUAGUCCGCACAGUAAACGAUGAAUACUCGCUGUUUGCGAUACACUGUAAGCGGCCAAGCGAAAGCGUUAAGUAUUCCACCUGGGGAGUACGCCGGCAACGGUGAAACUCAAAUGAAUUGACGGGG